rnacentral:rRNA from 1 species
CGGUACCCUAACCGUGCAAAGGUAGCACAAUCACUUGUUCUUUAAAUGAGGACUAGAAUCAACGGCAUCACGAGGAUCCCACUGUCUCCCCCCUCCAAUCAGUGAAACUGAUCUCCCCGUGAAGAAGCGGGGAUACAAAUAUAAGACGAGAAGACCCCAUGGAGCUUUAAACCCAACAGCACCCGUUUAUUUUCAUCCUCACAUAAGUUAGGUUAUGCCUGUUUGGUUUUAGGUUGGGGUGACCACGGAGUAUAAAACAACCUCCAUGAAA